UACGUAGGGUGCGAGCGUUGUCCGGAAUUAUUGGGCGUAAAGGGCUCGUAGGCGGUUUGUCGCGUCGGGAGUGAAAACCAGGUGCUUAACACCUGGCUUGCUUUCGAUACGGGCAGACUAGAGGUAUUCAGGGGAGAACGGAAUUCCUGGUGUAGCGGUGAAAUGACGCAGAUAUCAGGAGGAACACCGAUGGCGAAGGCGGCUCUCUAGUACGGUACUGACGCUGAGACGCGAAAGCGUGGGGAGCGAACAGG
rnacentral:rRNA from 1 species